GCGGGCGCGGGCACGAGCGCGAACGCGAAUGCGAGCGUUUUUUGGCCGAAUAAUUCGGGCUCGCGAAUUAUUCGUGAAUAAGUAUUUUUUAUUAAAAAAACUCGAUUUUUUCAGAAUUUUUUGGAAAAAUAUGAAUACGGCCGUUUAAUUCGUUUCUUCAAACAUUCGCAAAUAAUUCACGAAUUAACCAACAUAGCGCGAGACUUGUGACGGGCGAGCGUGCGUUUUUUUGGGCGAAUUAUUCGCGAAUAUUUAUUUUUGAUAAAAAAAAAUGUCACAUUUUUUUUCGAAUUUUUUGAAAAAAUACUUAUUCUAUUGAUUUAUUCGUUUCUUCAAAAAUUCGCAAAUAAUUCACGAAUUAUUCGCGAAUUAACUAACUAUGGGGUAGAGUGGGUACCUGAUAUAUUUUACUUUCAACUGGCACUAUUAGUGCUCGGCCUUCCGCACAUAGUUAAUUUUGCAUUUUUAUAAGGCCAAUUUGUAUAAAAUAUUUCUUAGUUUUAAAAUUUUGCAAAAAUAGACUAGUAUUAUAAAUUUUGCAAAUUCAAUUCGAAUUUUUAAAAAACUAAACAAAAUAUUUUUAUUUCUUUCUCUCUCUCCUUUUUUUUCUCUCAUUCUUUUUUUUAAUUUAUUCUCUCCGAAGAGGGCGGUGCAGGCGGAGGCGACCCGUCUUGCCUCUGCCCCACGCGUCCUCCUUGCCUUCAACCCCGUCAAAACUGCGCUCACUACUGCCCUUUAGGAUGACCCGCCCCCCUUUCGGCCUACGCACCCUCACCCGCGCCCCUUCACCCCCCACCCUCUUCGCCUCCAACCCCGUUGAGGUCACACCGCAACCCUUUUUUUCUUUCUGUCCAACCCUCCUCCACCACCUCUGCGGCCCUUCUCGAGGUAAUUUCAGACUGUCUUUAUUAAUUUUAUAUAUCUCGAUCAAAUUUUUUAGAAACUAAUCAAUAUUGUUGUGCUAUCUUUUAUAUCACUUCUUUCUUUCUUUCUCCUUCUGCUUCUUCUACCUUUUCCUUUACUAUUCGCAUGUCAUCGUCGUGCCACUCCCUCUAUCUCCCUCACAUCUCCACUAUUGCCGACACAAGCAUUGUGGCUCAAAUGCCACACAGACCGGAAAGGAUAAGGGCGUAGAUAAUUAAACAGUUUGAAGUUGCAUGACAUAGCAAGAUGCCGGAACUUGGGAGGGGAGAAGGGGAUAGGAAGAAAAGGAAGGACAUGUCUUCUCCAUCUUCCUCUUAUUUUAUUUUUUAAAUUCUUUCUUCAAUAAAAAAUUAAAAUAUUGCACUAUUUAACUAUACAUUGCACUAGUAGAUUAUAAAAC
rnacentral:lncRNA from 1 species